AGGACGAACGCUGGCGGCGUGCUUCAUACAUGCAAGUCGAACGAGAAGCUCACUUCGGUGAGUGGAAAGUGGCGGACGGGUGAGUAAUAUGUAGAGAAUCUGCCCUUUAGUGGGGGACAACAGUUGGAAACGACUGCUAAUACCCCAUAUGAGCGUAUCUGAAAUGAUAUUCUUGAAAACUCCGGUGCUAAAGGAUGAGUCUGCAUCUGAUUAGCUAGUUGGUGGUGUAAUGGACUACCAAGGCGACGAUCAGUAGCUGGUUUGAGAGGAUGAUCAGCCACAAUGGGACUGAGACACGGCCCAUACUCCUACGGGAGGCAGCAGUAGGGAAUUUUGCGCAAUGGGGGAAACCCUGACGCCAGCAACGCCGCGUGAACGAGACGCCCUUCGGGGUGUAAAGUUUUGUCAGUGGGGACGAACAGAUGACGGUACCCACAGAGGAAGCACCGGCUAACUCCGUGCCAGCAGCAGC
rnacentral:rRNA from 1 species